rnacentral:rRNA from 1 species
CCUUGGUGUGAAUAGCAAUUAAGUAGGCGGACCAAUCUUCUGCCAGACGAAAAUUUCCAUGGCCCGCUGCGGCAACUUCCCCUAUGUAAAUCCCGUAUCCUUAAAAUCAUGGUAACUCCCAAAAUCACGGGAACCUCAUGCGCCCCUCACCACCCGCCUCCCACUUCCUCCGUUCUUCGUCCCCACGCCCCGAUCCCCUUCCGCCCUCCUCUUCCUAAGCCGCCGGCGUCCACCACGCGACCCCUCCUCUUCUCCACCAAGCCAGCCCGUCCCCACACGACGAGCUCGUGCAGAUCGAGGCGUCUACCACGCAGAAGACGUCGGGGAGCACGAGAGCCUCCAUUGCGCCCCCUUCCGACGGCCGCCCGGCGGUAACCCAACUCCUCCCCUCCUCUUAUCCAACACAGGGAGAAGCCGCCUGCUUCCACCGCAAGGAGACGCCGUAGACGGAACGUCCUGGGUGCUGAUCCUCACAACACACUCCAGGCAAACACCAUAUAUCUUGCAAUCUUGGUAUCUGUGUAGGUCUAACUUAGGUCAGGUGUCAUUUUAUUACUAAGGAGGCAGAAGGUUGUGUAGAUGGUCAGUGCAAAUAGGAGCUGUGAAGCGGGUGCGUCAUGGUGGCAGCAGUUGCAGCUCUGGCAGUUUGACUCGGAGUUCAAGUGGACGAAUUUUUCAGGGAAGCUUAGGGCGGUUGCUUGGGGUCCAGAAAGAACUUGUGUAUUAACAUUGAUGUCCAGAAGCUGGGGAGUGCAAACUGGGUCAACUAGAGGUGCUUGCAACUGCAAAAAAACAAGACGAACACAAACUUAAGGUCAGGAGCUUCUGGAACGCUUUAGUCGAUGAUAAAUCAGUUCAAAGUACCAUGUUCUCGAUCAAGAAAGGUUGUUUUUACAUUUGUAUUCAAAGGUCUCCCUCGCCGCACACGAGGCCGUAUGCACGACCACUGCCACUCCAUCGCUAUCGCUAUUUCUCCCCGGGAUUGGGUUUUGAUAAUUUUUUCGUGUGUGUUGUUCCCUGCAGUACAUUGUGAGGGGCGGGCUGAUACAGGGCAAACCCGGUGUAGGCCGAUCUUUCACGUUUGGAGUGGGAUCCCUCGAAGAACACGAUGAACACGGGGAAGAACGGAGAGAAAUCACAAGGGGAAACACUCAAGAACAAGUCCAAUCACACAUCCACUAGACUAUCAAACACACAAAAUCCACAAGGUACAUGAACGACAAAGGGAAAGAUACAAG